GGUUAAGCGACUAAGCGUACACGGUGGAUGCCCUGGCAGUCAGAGGCGAUGAAGGACGUGCUAAUCUGCGAUAAGCGUCGGUAAGGUGAUAUGAACCGUUAUAACCGGCGAUUUCCGAAUGGGGAAACCCAGUGUGUUUCGACACACUAUCAUUAACUGAAUCCAUAGGUUAAUGAGGCGAACCGGGGGAACUGAAACAUCUAAGUACCCCGAGGAAAAGAAAUCAACCGAGAUUCCCCCAGUAGCGGCGAGCGAACGGGGAGCAGCCCAGAGCCUGAAUCAGUGUGUGUGUUAGUGGAAGCGUCUGGAAAGGCGCGCGAUACAGGGUGACA
rnacentral:rRNA from 1 species